rnacentral:rRNA from 1 species
UACAGAGGGGGCAAGCGUUGUUCGGAAUUACUGGGCGUAAAGGGCGCGUAGGCGGCCUGUUAAGUCGGACGUGAAAUCCCUCGGCUCAACCGGGGAACUGCGUCCGAUACUGGCGGGCUUGAAUUCGGGAGAGGGAUGCGGAAUUCCAGGUGUAGCGGUGAAAUGCGUAGAUAUCUGGAGGAACACCGGUGGCGAAGGCGGCAUCCUGGACCGACAUUGACGCUGAGGCGCGAAAGCCAGGGGAGCAAACGGG